CGGGGCGUAGCGCAGUCUGGUAGCGCAUCUGCUUUGGGAGCAGAGGGUCGCUGGUUCGAAUCCGGCCGCCCCGA
rnacentral:tRNA from 1 species